GAGUUUGAUCGUGGCUCAGAUUGAACGCUGGCGGCAGGCCUAACACAUGCAAGUCGAGCGGAUGACGGGAGCUUGCUCCUUGAUUCAGCGGCGGACGGGUGAGUAAUGCCUAGGAAUCUGCCUGGUAGUGGGGGGCAACGUUUCGAAAGGAACGCUAAUACCGCAUACGUCCUACGGGAGAAAGCAGGGGACCUUUGGGCCUUGCGCUAUCAGAUGAGCCUAGGUCGGAUUAGCUAGUUGGUGGGGUAAUGGCUCACCAAGGCGACGAUCCGUAACUGGUCUGAGAGGAUGAUCAGUCACACUGGAACUGAGACACGGUCCAGACUCCUACGGGAGGCAGCAGUGGGGAAUAUUGGACAAUGGGCGAAAGCCUGAUCCAGCCAUGCCGCGUGUGUGAAGAAGGUCUUCGGAUUGUAAAGCACUUUAAGUUGGGAGGAAGGGCAGUAAGUUAAUACCUUGCUGUUUUGACGUUACCGACAGAAUAAGCACCGGCUAACUCUGUGCCAGCCGCCG
rnacentral:rRNA from 1 species